rnacentral:lncRNA from 1 species
CCUGCCCUUUCAACUUCAUUUCAUGUUAAAUACCUCCUAAAGACCCUGUCUCCUAAUACAGUCAAACUAAGGGUUAGGGUUUGGUUUCUUUCUUUUUUUUUUUUUUUCAGGGCUCUAACAUAGGAUUUUGGAGGGAAUAUCCUUCAGUCUGUAGCAUCUGGGGAAGUGCCUUCAAGCAGAGGGAACAGCCAUGGCAAAGGCGCAAAGGCAAGAGUCAGCCUGCUCCUGCUGAUACUAAGCUGAAGAUAGAAGCACCAGGAUGAAGGGAAAUAAAAGAGAAGGAACAAUGCA